rnacentral:rRNA from 1 species
CCUACGGGAGGCAGCAGUGAGGAAUAUUGGUCAAUGGCCGAGAGGCUGAACCAGCCAAGUCGCGUGAGGGAAGACGGCCCUACGGGUUGUAAACCUCUUUUGUCGGGGAGCAACGCGAGUCACGUGUGACCCAUUGAGAGUCCCCGAAGAAAAAGCAUCGGCUAACUCCGUUCCAGCAGCCGCGGUAAUACGGAGGAUGCGCUCGUUAUCCGGAUUUUUUGGGUUAAAGGGGUGCGCAGGCGGAGGUGCAAGUCAGCGGUCAAAUUGCGGGGCUCAACCCCGUACUGCCGUUGAAACUGCAUCCCUUGAGUGCGCGAGAAGUAUGCGGAAUGCGGGGUGUAGCGGUGAAAUGCAUAGAUAUCACGCAGAACUCCGAUUGCGAAGGCAGCAUACCGGCGCGCAACUGACGCUCAUGCACGAAAGCGUGGGUAUCGAACAGGAUUAGAUACCCCAGUAGUC